CCUACGGGAGGCAGCAGUGGGGAAUUUUGGACAAUGGGCGCAAGCCUGAUCCAGCCAUGCCGCGUGCGGGAAGAAGGCCUUCGGGUUGUAAACCGCUUUUGUCAGGGAAGAAAAGGUUCUGGCUAAUACCUGGGACUCAUGACGGUACCUGAAGAAUAAGCACCGGCUAACUACGUGCCAGCAGCCGCGGUAAUACGUAGGGUGCAAGCGUUAAUCGGAAUUACUGGGCGUAAAGCGUGCGCAGGCGGUUAUGCAAGACAGAGGUGAAAUCCCCGGGCUCAACCUGGGAACUGCCUUUGUGACUGCAUAGCUAGAGUACGGUAGAGGGGGAUGGAAUUCCGCGUGUAGCAGUGAAAUGCGUAGAUAUGCGGAGGAACACCGAUGGCGAAGGCAAUCCCCUGGACCUGUACUGACGCUCAUGCACGAAAGCGUGGGGAGCAAACAGGAUUAGAUACCCUGGUAGUCCACGCCCUAAACGAUGUCAACUGGUUGUUGGGAGGGUUUCUUCUCAGUAACGUAGCUAACGCGUGAAGUUGACCGCCUGGGGAGUACGGCCGCAAGGUUGAAACUUAAAUGAAUUGACGG
rnacentral:rRNA from 1 species